UAAUUUCAUGACCCAAACUUCUCCAUUCUCACCUAUCCCCACCCACAUAAUAGGCAUGACCUUCUCAUUUACCAUAUUUCCAUAUUUUGGACAUUUAUAUCAAUUAAUUGAUAUGAACAUUAACGAUGAGACCUAAUCCCUUCCAAAUUGUUUCAAUUAGCUUUUGUUGGGUUUUUCUUUCACUUUGCACCUCUAAAACCAUACAGAUUCUCAAUUUUUUUUUU
rnacentral:lncRNA from 1 species